GACGAACGCUGGCGGCGUGCCUAAUACAUGCAAGUCGAACGCUGAAGGAGUACCUUUCUCUUCUGCAUGAGUUGCGAACGGGUGAGUAACACGUAGGUAACCUGCCUUUGACCGUGGGAUAACUAUUGGAAACUAGAGCUAAUACCGCAUAAGAGUACAUGUUGCAUGAUAUUUACUUGAAAGUUUCAAUUGCUUGACUAGGACAUGGGCCUUCGUUGUAUUAGCUAGUGGGUGGGGUAUCGCCUUACCAAGGCGAGGAGACAUAGCCGAAAGGAGAGGGGGAUCGGCCACACUGGGAGUGAGACACGGCCCAGAGGGCUACGGGAGGGAGCAGUAGGGCAUCUUGGGCAAGGGACGGAAGUCUGAGCGAGAAACGCCGAGUGAGUGAAGAAGGAUGUCGGGUCGUAAAGGUCUGUUGUAAGAGAAGAACGAGUGUGAGAGUGGAAAGUUCACACUGUGACGGUAUCUGACCAGAAAGGGACGGCUAACUACGUG
rnacentral:rRNA from 1 species